UCCUUGGUGGCUUAGACGGUAAAGAAUCUGCCUGCAGUGCAGGAGACCUGGGUUCGAUCCCUAGGUCAGGAA
rnacentral:tRNA from 1 species